rnacentral:tRNA from 1 species
GGAUGAAUGGCUGAGUGGUUGAAAGCAUCAAUUUUGAAAAUUGACAUAAUUUUUAUCGUAGGUUCAAAUCCUACUUCAUCCG